UUGUCUGCCCCCAGGAUGUGCGCAGGUCCUGCAUGAUAGGCACGGUGGUGACAGUGAUCACUGUGCCACUUGUGCUGAUAUGCUGCUAUCUUGGCAUUCGCAAGCUGUACGAGAUCCGACGUCUUUUUUACAGUUAUUUGAUAUAGUGAAUGAUGGCAUGAUUAUCCCAUGGCUGAGUUAGAACACUAUGCCAAUGAAAACCUGGAUGAUUCCAUUAAAAAAGCUGCAAAGGAGAUCCUGGAGAAGAGGGCGUACAUCUUCUCCCACCCUCUGGACAGGACCUUCUGAUCCCUCCCUGAGAACAGGCACUCAAGAAUGUCUGUCAGGGAGGAAUUUGCUGCAGUUUCCAUACCUGCCACCUUAAAAGCAUCUGUUAUUUUAUGUAUUUACAAAUAGUAUCUCUUUAAAAUAAAACUUCUUUCUAACCACUA